rnacentral:tRNA from 1 species
CUUUAUCAGGUAUCUUAUU